CACAUUACCAAUCCUCCGUGAGCUGCAGCUUCUGCAUCCGUAAAAUGGAGAAAAUAACAACCAUACCUACCACACAGGGUUCUUAAAGAAAGUCUUCUUCUAAGAUUCAUGCUAGAUCUUAUUGGCCUCCAGAUAUCCACGACCGGAAGGAACCCUCUCCAUUUAAGACAAGAAUUCUUUUUCCUUUGGGAAGGCCAAGUGAAGCAAAUGGUGAUCCCAGGCAGUGAUAUCUGCAACCCAGAGGCUUAAUCCUGACGAGGCUGAUGAAUGUGUGUGUCGAGCUGCUCCUGGCAAACACAGCACCUAUCAGAUAUCACAGCAAAACAACAACAACGACAAAAACGGUUGUUCUUUGGAGUCAGUUUGUUCCUCGUAGGAGGGGUCUAGGUGGAAGGGGCUGACUUUCAAGCUGAGGCAGUGACUUCUGGGUCAGAUGUGUGUCUGGGACACAGGGAUGGGGACAGGAAUGUGUCUGGGAGGGUGCGCAGGGCUUGAUGUCUUUGGAACCAAGCUCCAGAAGGGCAAGGCACCCUCCUGGGGUUAUGACUGGGCCUGGUGAUGGCAACGAGGAAGGGUGUGUUUGCCAUUGAAGUAUUUAAGCAUUGUCUCACCAGUCAGAAAACAAGACUGGCUUGUUGCUUCAUCCUAGCCCAGGGCCCUUCAAACUCAGAUCUCAGCAUGACCCACUCAGGGAACUGUUCUGAGUUUCUCAGUAGGCGACGUCCAGCCCAACUAGCAAGUCUCCCAACCGUAUUACUGAUUUUGAGGAUUAAAAAAAAAAAGUUUCUCUUUAUUUUUGGCAGUUGAAUUUGGAUUUCAUUACAAUGAUCGACUUGAAAUACAUGCCUGAGUGUGGCUCUUGUACCACCUACAGCAGAAUCGCCUCAGGGGAGGGACGUUGAAAAAUGCAUACUUUCCCCAGUCCCA